UACGUAGGGGGCAAGCGUUGUCCGGACUUAUUGGGCGUAAAGAGCGUGUAGGCGGCCAUGCAGGUCCGUUGUGAAAACUCGAGGCUCAACCUCGAGACGCCGGUGGAAACCGUGUGGCUAGAGUCCGGAAGAGGAGAGUGGAAUUCCUGGUGUAGCGGUGAAAUGCGCAGAUAUCAGGAAGAACACCAAUGGCGAAAGCAGCUCUCUGGGACGGUACUGACGCUGAGACGCGAAAGCGUGGGGAGCGGACAGG
rnacentral:rRNA from 1 species